rnacentral:snRNA from 1 species
CUGCUCACUUCAGCAGCACAUAUACUAAAAUCGGAACAAUACAGAGGAGAUUAGCAUGGCCCCUGCGCAAGGAUGACAUGCAAAUUCGUGAAGCAUUCCUUUUUUUU